AUUGUACCCACAUGCUUUGUCUGCUACUACAUACUCUGAAAGUAAUGCCUUCCUGUUUGCUUAAUUUCUGUGGUGGUACAUGGGAGGUAAGGACUUUAGGUUGAAGGAGGGAAGAUUUAGGGUGGAUGUCAGGAGGAAGUUCUUUACUAUGAGAGUGGUGAGGUGCUGGAACAGACUGCCCAGAGAGGUUGUGGAUGCCCCGUCCCUGGAGGUGUUCAAGGCCAGGUUGGAUGGGGCCCUGGGCAGCCUGUUCUAGUAUUAAAUGGAGAGGUUGGUGGCCCUACCUGCAGCAGGGGGUUGGAGAUUCAUGAUCCUCAAGGUCCCUUCCAUCCCAGGCCAUUCUGUGAUUCUGUGAUUCUAUUUUGCAGAUGAAAGAUUAAGAUACUCAUACCAAAGCAGUCUUUGUACUCUCUGUUUAUCUUCCCUAUUGCUUCCUUUCUGUAUCAUACUGCAGGUAUGGCUAGGAAUCCUGAGUGCCCAACUCCAUCAGGGUUCAUCAAAUUUAUGCAUUCAGAUUUUUCAGUACAGUUUUCUCGACAUCAGUUCCUUACCCCUAAAAAAAGAGAAAUCUUAUUUACAUGUGUCAUAGGAAUGUUUAUAGAAUAAGGAACU
ensembl:lncRNA